UAUGGCCGCUAUGGUUUUGGUUUGAAUUCACAUGUUUUAUCCUCCCCUUGAAACACUUAUGAGGGUGAGGCAAUUACGCAAAUGUUUGCUACGUAGUUUUGAAGGUCGUAGGGUUUACGUAUCUCCUGUACGUAACUCCUGAUGGCCCAUAUGUACGUGUGAAUUAGGGGUACAAUUGGUUGGCAGUAGGAUAUGUAUUUAAUUAUUUUAUUCUGG
rnacentral:lncRNA from 1 species